rnacentral:rRNA from 1 species
GGUUAAGCGACUAAGCGUACACGGUGGAUGCCCUGGCAGUCAGAGGCGAUGAAGGACGUGCUAAUCUGCGAAAAGCGUCGGUAAGGUGAUAUGAACCGUUAUAGCCGGCGAUGUCCGAAUGGGGAAACCCAGUGUGAUUCGUCACACUAUCGUUAACUGAAUACAUAGGUUAACGAGGCGAACCGGGGGAACUGAAACAUCUAAGUACCCCGAGGAAAAGAAAUCAACCGAGAUUCCCCCAGUAGCGGCGAGCGAACGGGGAGCAGCCCAGAGUCUGAAUCAGCUUGUGUAUUAGUGGAACGGUCUGGAAAGUCCGACGGUACAGGGUGAUAGUCCCGUACACCAAAAUGCACAGGCUGUGAACUCGAAGAGUAGGGCGGGACACGUGGUAUCCUGUCUGAAUAUGGGGGGACCAUCCUCCAAGGCUAAAUACUCCUGACUGACCGAUAGUAAACCAGUACCGUGAGGGAAAGGCGAAAAGAACCCCGGCGAGGGGAGUGAAAAAGAACCUGAAACCGUGUACGUACAAGCAGUGGGAGCACCUUCGGGUGUGACUGCGUACCUUUUGUAUAAUGGGUCAGCGACUUAUAUUCUGUAGCAAGGUUAACCGUAUAGGGGAGCCGCAGGGAAACCGAGUCUUAACUGGGCGUUAAGUUGCAGGGUAUAGACCCGAAACCCGGUGAUCUAGCCAUGGGCAGGUUGAAGGUUGGGUAACACUAACUGGAGGACCGAACCGACUAAUGUUGAAAAAUUAGCGGAUGACUUGUGGCUGGGGGUGAAAGGCCAAUCAAACCGGGAGAUAGCUGGUUCUCCCCGAAAGCUAUUUAGGUAGCGCCUCGUGAAUUCAUCUUCGGGGGUAGAGCACUGUUUCGGCUAGGGGGUCAUCCCGACUUACCAACCCGAUGCAAACUACGAAUACCGAAGAAUGUUAUCACGGGAGACACACGGCGGGUGCUAACGUCCGUCGUGAAGAGGGGAAACAACCCAGACCGCCAGCUAAGGUCCCAAAGUCAUGGUUAAGUGGGAAACGAUGUGGGAAGGCACAGACAGCCAGGAUGUUGGCUUAGAAGCAGCCAUCAUUUAAAGAAAGCGUAAUAGCUCACUGGUCGAGUCGGCCUGCGCGGAAGAUGUAACGGGGCUAAACCAUGCACCGAAGCUGCGGCAGCGACACUAUGUGUUGUUGGGUAGGGGAGCGUUCUGUAAGCCUGCGAAGGUGACCUGUGAGGGUUGCUGGAGGUAUCAGAAGUGCGAAUGCUGACAUAAGUAACGAUAAAGCGGGUGAAAAGCCCGCUCGCCGGAAGACCAAGGGUUCCUGUCCAACGUUAAUCGGGGCAGGGUGAGUCGACCCCUAAGGCGAGGCCGAAAGGCGUAGUCGAUGGGAAACAGGUUAAUAUUCCUGUACUUGGUGUUACUGCGAAGGGGGACGGAGAAGGCUAUGUUAGCCGGGCGACGGUUGUCCCGGUUUAAGCAUGUAGGCUGGUUGUCCAGGCAAAUCCGGAUAAUCAAGGCUGAGGUGUGAUGACGAGGUACUACGGUGCUGAAGUAACAAAUGCCCUGCUUCCAGGAAAAGCCUCUAAGCAUCAGGUAACAUCAAAUCGUACCCCAAACCGACACAGGUGGUCAGGUAGAGAAUACCAAGGCGCUUGAGAGAACUCGGGUGAAGGAACUAGGCAAAAUGGUGCCGUAACUUCGGGAGAAGGCACGCUGGUGUGUAGGUGAAGUCCCUGCGGAUGGAGCUGAGACCAGUCGAAGAUACCAGCUGGCUGCAACUGUUUAUUAAAAACACAGCACUGUGCAAACACGAAAGUGGACGUAUACGGUGUGACGCCUGCCCGGUGCCGGAAGGUUAAUUGAUGGGGUUAUCCGUAAGGAGAAGCUCUUGAUCGAAGCCCCGGUAAACGGCGGCCGUAACUAUAACGGUCCUAAGGUAGCGAAAUUCCUUGUCGGGUAAGUUCCGACCUGCACGAAUGGCGUAAUGAUGGCCAGGCUGUCUCCACCCGAGACUCAGUGAAAUUGAACUCGCUGUGAAGAUGCAGUGUACCCGCGGCAAGACGGAAAGACCCCGUGAACCUUUACUAUAGCUUGACACUGAACAUUGAGCCUUGAUGUGUAGGAUAGGUGGGAGGCUUUGAAGCGUGGACGCCAGUCUGCGUGGAGCCAACCUUGAAAUACCACCCUUUAAUGUUUGAUGUUCUAACGUUGGCCCCUGACCGGGGUUGCGGACAGUGUCUGGUGGGUAGUUUGACUGGGGCGGUCUCCUCCCAAAGCGUAACGGAGGAGCACGAAGGUUAGCUAAUCCUGGUCGGACAUCAGGAGGUUAGUGCAAUGGCAUAAGCUAGCUUGACUGCGAGCGUGACGGCGCGAGCAGGUGCGAAAGCAGGUCAUAGUGAUCCGGUGGUUCUGAAUGGAAGGGCCAUCGCUCAACGGAUAAAAGGUACUCCGGGGAUAACAGGCUGAUACCGCCCAAGAGUUCAUAUCGACGGCGGUGUUUGGCACCUCGAUGUCGGCUCAUCACAUCCUGGGGCUGAAGUAGGUCCCAAGGGUAUGGCUGUUCGCCAUUUAAAGUGGUACGCGAGCUGGGUUUAGAACGUCGUGAGACAGUUCGGUCCCUAUCUGCCGUGGGCGCUGGAGAAUUGAGGGGGGCUGCUCCUAGUACGAGAGGACCGGAGUGGACGCAUCACUGGUGUUCGGGUUGUCAUGCCAAUGGCACUGCCCGGUAGCUAAAUGCGGAAGAGAUAAGUGCUGAAAGCAUCUAAGCACGAAACUUGCCCCGAGAUGAGUUCUCCCUGAGACUUUAAGUCUCCUGAAGGAACGUUGAAGACGACGACGUUGAUAGGCCGGGUGUGUAAGCGCAGCGAUGCGUUGAGCUAACCGGUACUAAUGAACCGUGAGGCUUAACCUU